UACGUAGGCAGCGAGCGUUGUUCGGAGUUACUGGGCGUAAAGGGUGUGUAGGCGGUUCUCUAAGUUUGGUGUGAAAUCUCCCGGCUCAACUGGGAGGGUGCGCCGAAUACUGAAAGACUAGAGUGCGGGAGAGGAAAGUGGAAUUCCUGGUGUAGCGGUGAAAUGCGUAGAUAUCAGGAGGAACACCGGUGGUGUAGACGGCUUUCUGGACCGUAACUGACGCUGAGACACGAAAGCGUGGGUAGCAAACAGG
rnacentral:rRNA from 1 species